rnacentral:rRNA from 1 species
GUGGGUGAAGAAGGCCUUCGGGUUGUAAAGCCCUUUUGUUGGGAAAGAAAUCCAGCUGGCUAAUACCCGGUUGGGAUGACGGUACCCAAAGAAUAAGCACCGGCUAACUUCGUGCCAGCAGCCGCGGUAAUACGAAGGGUGCAAGCGUUACUCGGAAUUACUGGGCGUAAAGCGUGCGUAGGUGGUCGUUUAAGUCCGUUGUGAAAGCCCUGGGCUCAACCUGGGAACUGCAGUGGAUACUGGGCGACUAGAGUGUGGUAGAGGGUAGCGGAAUUCCUGGUGUAGCAGUGAAAUGCGUAGAGAUCAGGAGGAACAUCCAUGGCGAAGGCAGCUACCUGGACCAACACUGACACUUAGGCACGAAAGCGUGGGGAGCAAACAGGAUUAGAUACCCUGGUAGUCCACGCCCUAAACNAUGCGAACUGGAUGUUGGGUGCAAUUUGGCACGCAGUAUCGAAGCUAACGCGUUUAAGUUCGCCGCCUGGGGGAGUACUGUCGCAGAAUUGAAACUCAAAGGAAUU